rnacentral:rRNA from 1 species
CCUACGGGUGGCAGCAGUGGGGAAUAUUGGACAAUGGGGGCAACCCUGAUCCAGCCAUGCCGCGUGCGUGAAGAAGGCCCUCGGGUUGUAAAGCACUUUCAGUGAGGAAGAACGCCUGGUGGUUAAUACCCAUCAGGAAAGACAUCACUCACAGAAGAAGCACCGGCUAACUCCGUGCCAGCAGCCGCGGUAAUACGGAGGGUGCGAGCGUUAAUCGGAAUUACUGGGCGUAAAGCGCGCGUAGGUGGCUUGAUAAGCCGGUUGUGAAAGCCCCGGGCUCAACCUGGGAACGGCAUCCGGAACUGUCAAGCUAGAGUGCAGGAGAGGAAGGUAGAAUUCCCGGUGUAGCGGUGAAAUGCGUAGAGAUCGGGAGGAAUACCAGUGGCGAAGGCGGCCUUCUGGACUGACACUGACACUGAGGUGCGAAAGCGUGGGUAGCAAACAGGAUUAGAUACCCUUGUAGUC